rnacentral:rRNA from 1 species
AUUGAACGCUGGCGGCAUGCCUUACACAUGCAAGUUGAACGGCAGCACGGGAGCAAUCCUGGUGGCGAGUGGCGAACGGGUGAGUAAUGUAUCGGAACGUACCUUUCAGUGGGGGAUAACGUAGCGAAAGUUACGCUAAUACCGCAUAUUCUGUGAGCAGGAAAGCAGGGGAUCGCAAGACCUUGCGCUGAUUGAGCGGCCGAUAUCAGAUUAGCUAGUUGGUGAGGUAAAGGCUCACCAAGGCGACGAUCUGUAGCGGGUCUGAGAGGAUGAUCCGCCACACUGGAACUGAGACACGGUCCAGACUCCUACGGGAGGCAGCAGUGGGGAAUUUUGGACAAAUGGGCGCAAGCCUGAUCCAGCCAUGCCGCGUGAGUGAAGAAGG